GUUUUGCUUGAAUAUGGACUUCAUGUUCAUCCAUGUUCUCCAAGCGUUGCAUGGCUUUGCUGUGAGAUGAGAAAUGUUUGCUGCGUUCCGCCUGCUGGAUUGCAUUUUGUUCUCCAUCCGUUUGUCCUGGGCCGUGUUUGAUUGUGAGUGAAGGUUGGCUUUGUUUUGCAGACCCUUUUAGGAUCCUUCAGAAAGAGUGCCAGUGUAGAAACGUCAGCAUUGCAUGGAUGGAUAUCAAACUAUGAGAUAAAUGGAAAUUGCUCUGGGAGAAAAAUGAAAGUAAUGUUGUCUUAUGUUAGAGAUUGUCAUUGGUCUUUCCUCAUAUCAUUAACUCAGAGAAACUCCCACCUGAAUCCACUUGGUUAUGGGAGGUGAAACUGAGUAAAUACGAUUGGGAUUGCGCACACAAACGAGGAGCAUUCUGUUGCUUGUAAAAGGGCUCAGAUGGUUUCCAGACUCUGUUUCUCAUAGGGAGAGAGAAGACUGCUUCUUCCUUCCUGGCAAGAAGGGCAGCAAGUGCUGCAAAUGGCUGUCUUACACCCAACACCUGCUUGAAUCCAGCACGUAGCUGGUCUGGGCCAGGCCCUGUGCUUCUCUUGAAGCAUACAGGUUGAUCAGAAAUGGUGUCCUUUUCUAGAUGUACUUCAGUCAAGGCUGUAUUGAAAGUGUCACGAUUUAUCUUUGAUGAGCAUUCCCCAAAACAGAAAUGAUUGUUCCUCAAGAAAUCAAGGGAAAAUCUACUCCUACCCUGAGUUUACAGCACUGACUGAAAUGUUCUCAGAUGAGCAGGUGGGAAAACGGCCUGUAAAUCUUCAUCUUUAUAAAUGGUUCGUAAAACUUUUGGUGUUGAAAGAAGACAGCAAGAGAGAUGUUGAAGACCUGAGCCUUGAUGUCAUUUCCUCAGAAUUUGUACCAGGCAGAGCUGACAGCAGAACAGUGCCUUCCUCUUCCACGCCCAGGCUGAAGUCAAAGGCCCAUAAUGCUUAGUUGCCCUGGCCAUUGGAUUUAACAUCUCUCUUGGAAGUACUUCAAACCAAAUGGCUGGCUCCAUCUCUAGCUUUGUUAAUUAGGCACAUUACUUUGUUGCUUUUUUCAUAUCGUUUAAUGUAAUUGGCAUUUGUGCAGCUUUCUAAAGGCAUGUUUGGG
rnacentral:lncRNA from 1 species